UACAGAGGGUGCAAGCGUUGUUCGGAAUUAUUGGGCGUAAAGGGCAAGUAGGUGGUCCCAAAAGUUUACUGUGAAAUCCCUGAGCUUAACUCAGGAACUGCGGUGGAUACUCUGGGACUUGAGUGCUGGAGGGGUGCGUGGAAUUCCUGGUGUAGCGGUGAAAUGCGUAGAUAUCAGGAGGAACACCGGAGGCGAAAGCGGCGCACUGGACAGCAACUGACACUCAAUUGCGAAAGCGUGGGGAGCAAACAGG
rnacentral:rRNA from 1 species